AGUAGAUGUAGUAGCAGCAGCAGCUGGAGUAGAUGUAGUAGCAGCAGCAGCUGGAGUAGAUGUAGUGGUCUGGGUAACCAAGGAUACAAAGGCAGCUGACCAGCACUAGCUGGUGCAACAGUGGCAGCUGGAGUAGUUGUAGUAGCCGGAGUAGUUGUAGUGGUCUGGGUAACUGGGGGAGUUCCAGGCUGGCCAUAUGGGAAAUUCCAUGGCAUUCCAUAACCACUAGGAUAAUACAUUCCAGAUAACCAAGGAUACAAAGGCAGCUGACCAGCACUAGCUGGUGCAACAGUGGCAGCUGGAGUAGUUGUAGUAGCCGGAGUAGUUGUAGUGGUCUGGGUAACUGGGGGAGUUCCAGGCCGGCCAUAUGGGAAAU
ensembl:lncRNA